rnacentral:rRNA from 1 species
AUUAAACGCUGGCGGCAUGCCUUACACAUGCAAGUCGAACGGUAGCGCGGGGCAACCUGGCGACGAGUGGCGAACGGGUGAGUAAAGCAUCGGAACGUGCCCUGGAAUGGGGGAUAACGUAGCGAAAGUUACGCUAAUACCGCAUAUUCUGUGAGCAGGAAAGCAGGGGAUCGCAAGACCUUGCGUUCUGGGAGCGGCCGAUGUCGGAUUAGCUAGUUGGUGGGGUAAAGGCCUACCAAGGCGACGAUCCGUAGCGGGUCUGAGAGGAUGAUCCGCCACACUGGGACUGAGACACGGCCCAGACUCCUACGGGAGGCAGCAGUGGGGAAUUUUGGACAAUGGGCGGAAGCCUGAUCCAGCCAUGCCGCGUGAGUGAAGAAGGCCU